GCCUUCUUAGCUCAGUGGCAGAGCGUCAGUCUUGUAAACUGAAGGUCGCCGGUUCAAUCCCGGUAGGAGGCA